rnacentral:misc_RNA from 1 species
UUUCCGUAGGUGAACCUGCGGAAGGAUCAUUAUUGUAUAACCGAGGUGCGAGGGCUGUCGCUGACCCGAAAGGUCGUGCACGCCCGAGUGUGUCCUCUUGCAUAAUAAUCCAUCUCACCCUUUGUGCAUCACCGCGUGGGCACCCUUCGGGAUCAUCUCGGAGGGGGGCUCGCGUUUUCACACAAACCCCCCUUUUAAAAGUGUAGAAUGGCCACAUUUAUGCAAUCAAUACAACUUUCAACAACGGAUCUCUUGGCUCUC